AUGAAUUUGGUAGAACUCCUACCAACACCAACGUUUAAAAAAAAACAUAGCGUGCCACGCUUGGGUUCAUCCUCCGGAGUCCGGACAGAGACCAGACCCGAUCUCUUUUCUCUCCUCUUUCCCGGAUCACACAACCUCUCUCCGAGUCUCCCCUCUUUUCCAGCUUUUUCCUCCCCCCACCAAACUUCCACGAGACCUCCGGCCACCCACCCGCCAAGGCCUCCCUCCGCUCCGCGCUGUCCCCGCUGGACCACCGCAGCGCUCCCCUGUCCGAUCGGGAACGAGGAGAGUGUGCCACAGGAGAGCGCGAUCCGUCCCUCCGGCCCCAAGACGAGCGCCAUGGCAGACGCCGGCUCUCAUAUCGCCGCUGUCGUCGCCACCUCCACCUGCACCCACUGUCAACGAGAAAUUCCAUCAUCAAACAUCGACUUGCAUUCCGUACACUGUGCUCGUAACCUUCAAAAGUGCGAGCACUGUGGAGAAAUGGUUCCCAGGAAGCUUAUGGAAGAACACUACAAUGAAAAUCACGCUCCGGUAAAUUGCUCCCUGUGCAAAGAAACCUUGCGACCGGAGAUACUUGAUCUUCAUAAAAGUGAGCAGUGCACACAGAGGAUGGUUGCGUGUGCAUAUUGUGAGUACGAAUUGCCUGCAAUUGAUAUUCAUGAACAUCAGGAUGUAUGUGGAAACCGAACGGAGUUUUGUCAAACAUGCAAGAACUAUAUUAGACUUCGUGAAUGGAUAGGGCACGAAAUGCAGUGCCACGUUAGCUCAAAUGGUUCUGAAGAAUCAUCAAGUGCCAGAACCAUUCCAGAGAGAGAAGUGCGGCCUCCUCCACCGGUACGACCAGUGCGUGCUGUGCCUGCUGCACAACACAGGCGACUUCUCUUUACGAUUGCUGUAACUGGAAUCGCCGUCAUGGUUGGAUCAAUACUGUUCCAGAAGGAGGAGAGUUUCUAG
rnacentral:rRNA from 1 species